rnacentral:rRNA from 1 species
UACGUAGGGUGCAAGCGUUAAUCGGAAUUACUGGGCGUAAAGCGUGCGCAGGCGGUUGUGCAAGACAGAUGUGAAAUCCCCGGGCUUAACCUGGGAACUGCAUUUGUGACUGCAUGGCUAGAGUGUGUCAGAGGGGGGUAGAAUUCCACGUGUAGCAGUGAAAUGCGUAGAUAUGUGGAGGAAUACCGAUGGCGAAGGCAGCCCCCUGGGAUAACACUGACGCUCAUGCACGAAAGCGUGGGGAGCAAACAGG